ACGGGAGGCAGCAGUGGGGAAUAUUGCGCAAUGGGCGAAAGCCUGACGCAGCGACGCCGCGUGAGGGAUGAAGGUCUUCGGAUCGUAAACCUCUGUCAGAAGGAAAGAAAGACGAUCGAGUGAAUAAUGAGAUCGAGUGACGGUACCUUCAAAGGAAGCACCGGCUAACUCCGUGCCAGCAGCCGCGGUAAUACGGAGGGUGCAAGCGUUAAUCGGAAUCACUGGGCGUAAAGCGCACGUAGGCUGUAAGACAAGUCAGGGGUGAAAUACCGGGGCUCAACCUCGGAACUGCCCUUGAAACUGUAAGACUUGAGUGUCGGAGGGGGCGGCGGAAUUCCAGGUGUAGGAGUGAAAUCCGUAGAUAUCUGGAAGAACACCGGUGGCGAAGGCGGCCGCCUGGACGACAACUGACGCUGAGGUGCGAAAGCGUGGGUAGCAAACAGGAUUAGAUACCCUGGUA
rnacentral:rRNA from 1 species